CCUACGGGAGGCAGCAGUAGGGAAUCUUCCACAAUGGACGCAAGUCUGAUGGAGCAACGCCGCGUGAGUGAAGAAGGGUUUCGGCUCGUAAAGCUCUGUUGUUAAAGAAGAACGUGGGUGAGAGUAACUGUUCACCCAUUGACGGUAUUUAACCAGAAAGCCACGGCUAACUACGUGCCAGCAGCCGCGGUAAUACGUAGGUGGCAAGCGUUAUCCGGAUUUAUUGGGCGUAAAGCGAGCGCAGGCGGUUUUUUAAGUCUGAUGUGAAAGCCUUCGGCUCAACCGAAGAAGUGCAUUGGAAACUGGGAGACUUGAGUGCAGAAGAGGACAGUGGAACUCCAUGUGUAGCGGUGAAAUGCGUAGAUAUAUGGAAGAACACCAGUGGCGAAGGCGGCUGUCUGGUCUGUAACUGACGCUGAGGCUCGAAAGCAUGGGUAGCGAACAGGAUUAGAUACCCUGGUAGUCCAUGCCGUAAACGAUGAUUGCUAAGUGUUGGAGGGUUUCCGCCCUUCAGUGCUGCAGCUAACGCAUUAAGUAUUCCGCCUGGGGAGUACGGCCGCAAGGUUGAAACUCAAAGGAAUUGACGG
rnacentral:rRNA from 1 species